AAGGGCGUCGUUUGCCUCCCCAACACUAACUCAUAAUGAGGAUGCAUACCGCCUUUUUUUUAUCCCAGCAGUUGUUCAUUCAUCUCCGAAAUUUUUGUCGAGUUUCGGGAACCAUCUCCUUCCUUGGUAUAAGCCUCACAGCUCUCUCACUCCGACUGACUGACCCAGGAACUUGCAACAAUCAUGAGUUGGAUUUUUGGUGUACAUGGCGACUAGGGAGGCAGCUAGAACACAUCAAAGUAAUCCAACAAAGGUGGGCUGUUGGUGCUCAUGCUUUCCGCUGAAUUUUGUAUCAACUGCGUAGUCUUCACUCUUCAAGUAUAUAGAACAAUAAAAAAAAAUAUGUCGGAGGCUCUCUAAACAAAGAUGAUUCUCACAACGCAAAAGACAUGUACAAUAGAUUUAUAUGUCCAGUCUAUAAACAUUUCAUACACAAUACACCACAAUGGUCCAAGUCCAUACAUACAAACUACAAAACCUCCCUUAAUUUGGAAGGGGCAUUGGCAAGCCAGUUUGCUUCAAUCGUGCAAGCUUGUAGUGAUCAUUCUCUUCUCCAGCAAGGUAGACAAGUUCAUGCACAUGUCAUUUGCAGCGGACUUGUCAAAAACAGCCUUGUUGGUACAAAGAUCCUGGGUAUGUAUUUUCUCUGUGGGAGCAUUAUAGACGCCAAGAACAUGUUUUAUCAGCUUGAUUUGAAAUAUACUUUGCCUUGGAACUGGAUGAUUAGAGGGUUUACAUUAACGGGUUACUUUGAUUAUGCCUUGCUGUUUUACUUUAAGAUGUUGGAUUCUGGAGUUUCACCCGACAAGUACACUUUUCCGAGUGUAAUUAAAGCUUGUGGUGGUGUGAAUAAUGUAAGAUUGGGCAAAGCAGUCUAUGAUACUAUCCAGCUUAUGGGUUUUGGAAUUGAUAUAUUUGUGGGCAGUUCUUUGAUUCAACUGUAUGUGGACAAUGGUUGUAUCCAGGAUGCAUGGCACUUGUUUGUUAAAAUGCCUGACAAAGAUUGUGUUUUAUGGAAUGUUAUGCUUCAUGGCUAUGUUAAAAAUGGAGAAUCAAAUAAUUCUGUUAGAAUGUUCUUGGAAAUGAGAAGUAGUGAAGUUAAGCCAAAUGCAGUGACAUUCGCUUGCAUUUUGUCUGUUUGUGCGUCAGAAGCUAUGAUUGGUUUUGGUACUCAACUUCAUGGGCUUGUUGUCGCUUGUGGGUUUGAGUCGGAUUCUCCAGUGGCUAAUACAUUGUUAGCAAUGUAUUCUAAAUGCCAGUACUUCUCUGAUGCCCGCAAGUUGUUUGAUAUGAUGCCUCAAACUGAUUUAGUGACAUGGAAUGGAAUGAUAUCUGGUUAUAUACAGAGUGGGUUCAUGCUUGAGGCUUCACGUUUGUUUCAGGACAUGAUAUCUACAAGUGUCAAACCUGAUUCAAUCACAUUUGCAAGUUUUUUACCUUCUGUUGCUGAACAAGGUAGCCUCAAGCAAGGUAAGGAAAUUCACUGUUACAUUGUAAGGCACUGUGUGCCUUUGGAUGUGUUUUUGCAAAGUGCACUUAUUGAUGUAUACUUCAAGUGUCGGAAUGUGGAGAUGUCGCGCAAAAUUUUCAACCAAAGCACCAGAACAGAUGUUGUCAUGUGCACAGCUAUGAUUUCGGGGUUUGUUCUCAAUGGGAUGAAUAGUGAUGCAUUGGACAUUUUUAGAUGGUUACUUAAACAGAAAAUGAGACCAAAUUCCCUAACAGUGGCAACUGUUUUACCAGCUUGUGCUGGUUUGGCUGCUCUGAAAUCUGGAAAGGAAGUGCAUGGUAACAUCCUCAAGCAUGGGUUUGAUGGGAGGUGUUAUGUGGGUAGUGCCCUUACAGACAUGUAUGCAAAAUCUGGAAGACUCGAUCUUGCUCAUUGUGUUUUUCAAAGACUGACCGAAAGGGAUGCUGUUUGUUGGAACUCAAUGAUAACAAGCUUUUCCCAGAAUGGCAAACCAGAAGAGGCGGUUGAUCUAUUUCGUCAAAUGGGGAUGGGAGGUGUCAAAUAUGACUGUGUAAGCAUUUCAGCUGCGCUAUCUGCAUGUGCAAAUUUACCAGCAUUUCAUUAUGGGAAAGAGAUCCAUAGUUUCAUGAUUAGAAAUGCAUUUAGCUCUGAUCUGUUUGCUGAGAGUGCACUGAUAGACAUGUAUGCCAAAUGUGGAAACUUAGAUCUUGCUCGCCAUGUGUUUGACAUGAUGGAAGAGAAGAAUGAAGUUUCGUGGAACAGCAUUAUUUCUGCUUAUGGGAAUCACGGUCACCUUAAGGAAUCUCUUGUUCUAUUUCAUGAAAUGUUGGGUAAUGGGAUCUUGCCUGAUCAUGUCACCUUUCUUGGUAUAUUAUCUGCUUGUGGUCAUGCAGGCGCAGUUGAUGAUGGAAUUCUCUACUUCCGUUCCAUGAUUGAGGAAUAUGGGAUCCCAGCUAGGUUAGAGCAUUAUGCUUGCAUGGUAGAUCUGUUAGGGCGUGCUGGACAUUUACAUGAAGCAUUUGAAACAAUAAAGAGCAUGCCAUUCUCCCCAGAUUCUGGUGUCUGGGGAACAAUGCUUGGAGCAUGUCGGCUCCAUGGCAAUGUUGAGCUUGCAGAAGAGGUAUCAAGAUAUCUUUUUGAAUUGGCACCUCUAAAUUCUGGCUAUUAUAUACUCUUAUCAAAUAUACUUGCUGAUGCUGGAAAAUGGGGGAGUGUGCUUAAGGUUCGAACUCUGAUGAAAAACAGAGAAGUUCAAAAGGUUCCUGGGUACAGUUGGAUUGAGGUGAACAACAACACUCAUAUGUUUGUUGCAGCAGAUGGGAGUCACCCAGAGUCUGCUCAGAUAUAUUCAUUGCUCAACAGUCUUCUUCUAGAACUAAGAAAAGAGGGUUAUAAUCCAAGGCCUUACCUUCCAAUGCAUCCACAAACGUUGGGGGUAUAAUUACUGGAAUGUUUUAGCUUCUCUCCUACAAUUCUGGCUACUUCAGGAUUAGGAAUGUGUUGCUGGCUUGUGAGUAAGGAAAUAAAUCAAAUUACUGAUGCCCCAUCAAAUAGGGGCAUUUAAUCUGUAGACGAGAAGACAAGAGAUAUUCACUGCACACUAUUGAGUUGGUAAUUGAAUUGGAAUAACAUGUAAGCUUGUCUCCUUAGAAAAGAGAAGGAAAAAGGGGUUUAACUCUCAAAUUAGAAAUCUGAAAAACUACCUAAUAAUAGGUCCCCUCGUGAUUAUGCCUCUGACUUUGAAGAUAAUUAAACAAAUUGGUUUUGGAACCUUUUGCCGCUUACUUGAGGAUAUUCUCAGCUAUGAAGGGGUGCGUUUUUAUCUCCACUGGUUUCCAAGGCCAAGCUUUUUUCUUAUAUUUUGGUCAGUUUGAUCAUAUAUACCCAUUUUUCUUCGUUGACAAAUCGUUCCAGCUUGGCCAGAUAUAUUAUGUUUAUUCCUAACUCUUAGGUAAAAACUAAUUACAAGACUAUACUUUUUUUCCCUCUAGAUUAUUACUCUGUUACUUUAUAGGCAGAAAAUCCCUGAGGUGUGAAUCCUUUUUUCUGUUUUCUUUGGGCAUAUUCAGCUUCGCAGUUUGAGCUUCAACUUGGUUUCUGUGUUUUGUUAACCCCUCUUUUCGUGUUAUGUGACAAUCUCUGGAAAUUGUCACGAUUUUGUAGAGUGGAAACAGCGGUUUGUUUUGCAGGAGCGGGGCAACCAUGUGGUGGUUCCCUAUUUUGAAGGUUCUGCUGGAGAAUCCAUUUACGGUUGUGGGUUUUGUUGCUGAAGAUCAAUUGGCUUACAGCUAUGCUGUCAAAGCAGCGUGUAUAUGGAGAUCUGUCUGGUAUGUGUCUCACCUAUGGUUUAGGAUAAAAUACCAAAGAAAGAUUUUUGGCUUUCCCAUCCAGAUUCCAGAUUAAUAUCAAUUGAUAGCUUCAAGCCUUCAACAACUGGAAAGAUUAAAUACUUGAGACGCCGAUAUUUGCUUAAGUUAUAUGAUUAUCAAAAUCCAUGUUUAGUAGCUUAUUCUUUUUUUUUUAAUAUACCUGCAAGUGAAGGGAAUGUAUAAGUGGGUAUUGUCAUUUGAAUAACUAUUUGAUGAUGGAACCAUCUCAACAUGAUUCAGAAUAAUUAUUUGAUGAUGGAACCACCUCAA